CCUACGGGGUGCUGCAGUAGGGAAUCUUUCACAAUGGGCGAAAGCCUGAUGGAGCAACGCCGCGUGCAGGAUGAAGGCCUUCGGGUUGUAAACUGCUUUUAUAAGCGAGAAAUAUGAUGGUAACUUAUGAAUAAGGAUCGGCUAACUACGUGCCAGCAGCCGCGGUCAUACGUAGGAUCCGAGCAUUAACCGGAGUGACUGGGUGUAAAGAGUUGCGUAGGUGGCAUAAUAAGUAGCUAGUGAAAGCUGGUGGCUCAACCAUUCAGACUAUUAGCUAAACUGUUAAGCUCGAGACCGUUAGGGGUAACUGGAAUUUCUAGUGUAGGAGUGAAAUCCGUAGAUAUUAGAAGGAACACCAAUAGCGUAGGCAGGUUGCUGGGACGGUUCUGACACUAAGGCACGAAAGCGUAGGGAGCAAACGGGAUUAGAUACCCGGGUAGUC
rnacentral:rRNA from 1 species